rnacentral:rRNA from 1 species
GCGCACGGGUGCGUAACGCGUAUGCAACCUACCUUUAACUGGGACAUAGCCCCGAGAAAUCGGGAUUAAUAUCCCAUAAUAUCCAGAAAACGCAUGUUUUCUGGAUUAAAGUUCCGGCGGUUAAAGAUGGGCAUGCGUGGCAUUAGUUAGUUGGUGAGGUAACGGCUCACCAAGGCAAUGAUGCCUAGGGGUCCUGAGAGGGUUUUCCCCCACACUGGUACUGAGACACGGACCAGACUCCUACGGGAGGCAGCAGUAAGGAAUAUUGGGCAAUAGGCGCAAGCCUGACCCAGCCAUGCCGCGUGCAGGAUGACGGCCCUAUGGGUUGUAAACUGCUUUUGUAUGGGAAAAAACUCCCGCACGUGUGCGGGACUGAUUGUACCAUACGAAUAAGCAUCGGCUAACUCCGUGCCAGCAGCCGCGGUAAUACGGAGGAUGCAAGCGUUAUCCGGAUUUAUUGGGUUUAAAGGGUGCGCAGGCGGAUUAGUAAGUCAGUGGUGAAAGCUCCCGGCUCAACCGGGAAAAUGCCAUUGAUACUGUUAAUCUUGAGUACAGUUGAGGUUGGCGGAAUGUAUCAUGUAACGGUGAAAUGCAUAGAUAUGAUACAGAACACCGAUAGCGAAGGCAGCUUACCAAACUGUAACUGACGCUCAUGCACGAAAGCGUGGGGAGCAAACAGGAUUAGAUACCCUGGUAGUCCACGCUGUAAACUAUGAUCACUCGCUGUUGGCGAUACACUGUCAGCGGCUUAGCGAAAGUGUUAAGUGAUCCACCUGGGGAGUACGAUCGCAAGGUUGAAACUCAAAGGAAUUGACGGGGGCCCGCACAAGCGGAGGAGCAUGUGGUUUAAUUCGAUGAUACGCGAGGAACCUUACCUGGGCUUAAAUGCAGAACGACCUCCCGAGAAAUCGGGACUUCCUUCGGGACGGACUGCAAGGUGCUGCAUGGUUGUCGUCAGCUCGUGCCGUGAGGUGUCGGGUUAAGUCCCAUAUCGA